GAGGCCUUAGCUUAAUUAAAGUGUCUGAGUUGCAGUCAGGAGAUGUAGAGAUGAAUUUACAGGUCUU
rnacentral:tRNA from 1 species